GGUAGGUUGGGGGCUGUUGGUCUUCAGCCUCUCCCACUGUUCUGACCGGGGCUUGGCACGCACCCAGAUGGACAGAGGGGGGUUGGAAAAUCAGGCCUGAGGUAUGCCUGGAGCAGUGGGAGAAUUACACCCUGGAUUUAAGUUGAGGCCCGGUGAGAUAGAGUCCAGCAUUCAUUAGAAACCCUGGUCCUGCUUAGACAUGCACGCCUGCACACUGCUGCACUCUGACUGUGGGAAUAAUGGACAAUGGAUGUUUUUGAUACUCCCAGGCUGAGAUGUUUCCACUAGAGCUACAUGAACCAGAAGCUCACACUGACAUCUGUCUCUUCAUCAUUACAGGCCGGACCUGGACCCAGUGGAACCUGCUGGCAGAAACAGAAACUCCAUGAUUGUCCUGGGCCACCACAGCCAAUUGGAUUUCCCUUGGCUACAAUAAACAUCCAGGUCCGGUUGGUCUCACAUGCAGUCCGCGGAAGAGGACACAGAGAGGAUGGAAGACUGUAAAGGAAGAUGUGAAGAAGAGAAAGAAGGUCAUGAAGAAGAAAGAAUGGAACGGAGUCUGGUGUUAGAGAUGAUGCUGCAGAAUGUAAGGGAGAAUGAGAGUGUCAAUGUUAAACAAAUGAAUUGUAUAUUGCAGUGUGCAUGACAAAAUAUAGGUGAUGUUCUCAUGACGAUAGGAUGGGGCUAAUAUUAUCUACAGUGUGACAUAUUUGGACUGAAUUAUAUAUUUACUGUGUAAAAACUAUUUACUAAAAUCUGUACAACUCCAACUGUUAUGAAACUCACAAACAUUGUAUUAGUGUGCUAUAUGAUGUUGUAAAUAUGUUAUAUACAAACAUAUUUGUACAGUGUGUAAGUAAUGUUUCAUAACCAGACUGCAUGCGGAAAUAAAGUUUAUGAAGAUUUCGGGAGAAAUACACAUCUACAGUGUCAGCCCAUAAACCCUGAUAAUAGGAGUUAAAUAGAAACAUCACUGUCUUGAUAUAACUAGAAACUGUACUUUUCAAGAGGUAUGUUUAUUGACAUGCAGAGCUCGUGUUGAACAUGUUAAGUGCUGUGAUUCAUCUUUGCCACUUCAGUUCUCCGUGAGUUAAAGUCCACCACAGGACAGUGAGUAAUGCUAGGUUGAUUCCACAUUAAUGCUGUACAAGCUUUGGUAUGCUUCAAAUGCAGUUCUUGUCUGACCAUCUAACUCAGGGGGUUCCAAACUACGGGCCGGGGGGCAACUGCGGCCCGUUAUCCAUUUUGAAAUGGCCCUCAGCUAAUUCUUAAAGUAUAAUGGAAUAUGGCCCACACCUGAAACGUGUGCUUGUCUUAUAUUGUACUUCUUAAAUAUAAAUGUAAAGACAUAAUUACACUGUAGUAUUAAUGUGUUUAUAAGCAAACUGUUCAAAUAAAUUCAGUUAAAGUUGAAAACAUGUUCUAACAAAUCCCCAAAAAGCCCAAUAACCUAUUUGCAUAACAAGCUUGAAAUAUACCUUCCUAUUUCCACUCAUUAUAAGCAGUCUGAGGCUUCUGCUUUAAGGGAUGAGCUUUUUGUAACAAAAUAAAUGAAACCCUCUGGAGAACUGUGA